AGGAUGAACGCUGGCGGCGUGCCUAAUGCAUGCAAGUCGCACGCAUCGUGCUUGCACGGUGAGUGGCGCACGGCUGAGGAACACGUGGGUGACCUGCCCUGGCGUGGGGGACAACGGGCCGAAAGGUCCGCUAAUCCCGCAUACGCUCGACACCGACGGGUGUUGAGGAAAGCAGCAAUGCGCGCCGGGAGGGCCUGCGGCCCAUCAGGUAGUUGGCGGGUAACGGCCCACCAAGCCGGUGACGGGUACCUGGUCUGAGAGGACGACCAGGCAGACUGGGACUGAGACACGGCCCAGACUCGUACGGGAGCAGCAGCGAAGGGUAC
rnacentral:rRNA from 1 species